rnacentral:rRNA from 1 species
CCUACGGGAGGCAGCAGUGGGGAAUAUUGGACAAUGGGCGCAAGCCUGAUCCAGCCAUACCGCGUGGGUGAAGAAGGCCUUCGGGUUGUAAAGCCCUUUUGUUGGGAAAGAAAAGCAGUCGGUUAAUACCCGAUUGUUCUGACGGUACCCAAAGAAUAAGCACCGGCUAACUUCGUGCCAGCAGCCGCGGUAAUACGAAGGGUGCAAGCGUUACUCGGAAUUACUGGGCGUAAAGCGUGCGUAGGUGGUUGUUUAAGUCUGUCGUGAAAGCCCUGGGCUCAACCUGGGAAUUGCGAUGGAAACUGGGCGACUAGAGUGUGGCAGAGGGUAGUGGAAUUCCUGGUGUAGCAGUGAAAUGCGUAGAGAUCAGGAGGAACAUCCGUGGCGAAGGCGACUGCCUGGGCCAACACUGACACUGAGGCACGAAAGCGUGGGGAGCAAACAGGAUUAGAUACCCUGGUAGUCCACGCCCUAAACGAUGCGAACUGGAUGUUGGGUGCAAUUUGGCACGCAGUAUCGAAGCUAACGCGUUAAGUUCGCCGCCUGGGGAGUACGGUCGCAAGACUGAAACUCAAAGGAAUUGACGG